CCUUCAGCCAACCUUCAUGAUAGUAGAAAUAAUUUAACCAAUGAAAGCAUUGUCCCGAACGCCUUGGACAUCGACAGACCUUCAGUUUCCGGCUGUUCUUCUGUUUUCGGAAGGUCUUCAGUUUCAACAUCGGCUGCGGCGCAGCAAAGAGCACGAUCACGCAAGAAAAGGUCCCGAUGGAACGUGAAUGCUCUUUGGACUAGAAAAACGAGACGGCGAACAAGAAGACGCGGUAGUGCGCAAGAAGCUGACUCGUCAGCAGACAGCAGCUAAAUCCUCAAAGAAUGGAGCUUUUUCCAAAUGGUUGCCAAAGAUGUCAACAGGCUGAUGGCAAAAUGGACAAUUACUUUCAUCGGAAGAAACAAAGAAUGUGACAGAGCAUUGUCGAUGACUGUAUGACUGUAAAGCAAUUUUUAAAGUUGUUAAAUAUAUUUA